AUUGAACGCUGGCGGCAUGCUUUACACAUGCAAGUCGAACGGUAACAGGCCUUCGGGUGCUGACGAGUGGCGAACGGGUGAGUAAUGCAUCGGAACGUGCCCAAUCGUGGGGGGAUAACGUAGCGAAAGUUACGCUAAUACCGCAUAAGCCCUGAGGGGGAAAGUGGGGGACCGCAAGGCCUCACGCGAAUGGAGCGGCCGAUGUCAGAUUAGCUAGUUGGUGGGGUAAAGGCCCACCAAGGCGACGAUCUGUAGCGGGUCUGAGAGGAUGAUCCGCCACACUGGGACUGAGACACGGCCCAGACUCCUACGGGAGGCAGCAGUGGGGAAUUUUGGACAAUGGGCGCAAGCCUGAUCCAGCCAUGCCGCGUGCGGGACGAAGGCCUCGG
rnacentral:rRNA from 1 species